rnacentral:rRNA from 1 species
UACGUAGGGUGCAAGCGUUGUCCGGAAUUAUUGGGCGUAAAGAGCUCGUAGGCGGUCUGUCGCGUCUGCUGUGAAAACUCAGGGCUUAACCCUGAGCUUGCAGUGGGUACGGGCAGACUAGAGUGCGGUAGGGGAGACUGGAAUUUCUGGUGUAGCGGUGAAAUGCGCAGAUAUCAGGAGGAACACCGGUGGCGAAGGCGGGUCUCUGGGCCGUAACUGACGCUGAGGAGCGAAAGCAUGGGGAGCGAACAGG